CGGACGGGUGGGUAACGCGUGGAUAACCUGCCUUUCACAGGGGGAUAACAGCUGGAAACGGCUGCUAAUACCGCAUGAGCCUCUUUUGUCGCAUGAGGAGAGAGGGAAAGAGAAAUCGGUGAGAGAUGGAUCCGCGUCCGAUUAGCUAGUUGGAGGGGUAACAGCCCACCAAGGCGACGAUCGGUAGCCGACCUGAGAGGGUGGACGGCCACAUUGGGACUGAGACACGGCCCAAACUCCUACGGAAGGCAGCAG
rnacentral:rRNA from 1 species